GAGAUCCGCGUCCCGACGGUUCGAAGACGCCAUCAAAGAAACCGGCGGCGAGGAGCGCAUCCCGCAGGGGAAGGCCCGCGGCCUGCGUGGGCCGCGACGGGGACCGGUGCGCUGGCAGGCACUUCAUGCCGGGACAGCUAAAGCCAAGUUUACAGCAGAGCCUGGCACAGUACCCGAACCACAAGGAGAUAGCAGCUACUGUGAUUGGACACGUUCAAGUGAUACCAUGCUCCAGGGAAGGCUUCGACGUGACUCAUCACAGCACUUGGCACGGAGUAACUCAACUAACAUCUGUUGGAGGGAUGAAUAAUUUAGGGGAUCCCGAGAAGGCCACUCGGAGGCUUGGCAGCCAGGUUAGCGACUGAGAUUGUCUAGGAGAAAAACUGGUGUGCUCACGACCCAUGGGUAUAGAUACCAUCUCUACAGUGACUAUAAAAAUGGCACGCUCACUCAGGCGUUCUCCAUUGUGACAUCUGUCCUGUGUUGAUCCCAGCAACCCAGGUGUCCCGACAUCAGGCCACCGAUCUCCUGCAUUGUGUCCUCCCACCUUGUCCAUAGAAGGCCGUGUAGAUGGAGGUAAUAAUUUUGGAGCUUUAAUUGAUGCCUCUUUAGUCUCAGUCUCAGAGAUACUCGAUGAAAUGGCCACGUGGAUGACAUGACGGUGUGAGCGGAGCUGAGACACAGGUCAGCAUUCUUACCCCAGGCAGGUGAGGCUUUGUGGAUGAGCACCAAAAUGCUAUGCGGUUACCUCGGGCUGCUGGUGCUAAGAUUUAUGAUCUUCAGUGAUGUCACACAGCAUUCUAACAGCACUGCUCUGCUCAUCUUGAGACCUCGAAGCAGGAAGCAGACAGCUGGCGGGCAUCAGAUCCUAUUUCAGCUUCCAUCCACUCAAAGCCUUUAGGAAUUGGGUUCACAGCCCGUAAAACCAAGAUCUCUUCUAUGUAAAGCUGAAGGAAGCAUGGAAGUAGACUCUUUACUCUCAGUGACUCAUGGGACACUGGCCAUUUGAGAUCCAGAGGGCUCUAAGGUGACAUCAGGGACCUUUCACACUGGUGCCAGUCUUUAAAUUUACCACCGUUAUCAAGAUAUUAUCUAGUUAGUUCCUGCUCACACAAGCCUCUGACUGACCCAUGCUGAUGACACCUGUUGGUAUCAGGGUAUCAGCACUGCAGAUCAGCUCUGGACCUAGUGACAUCACAUAUCGCUGACAGGAACCCGCACAUCUAUUGCCAAGGCAACCGCCACACAUUCCCAGAAUCCACUUGGCUCACCUCCCACAUUUACCUGCAGGCGGCUAAUGUCACUAUACAAAUAAACAGGCAGAUCCCUCUGACCCCUCUCUCUACCCCCGCACCCUGCUCCUCCUUCUCCACCACCUUUGCCCUUUUCUCCUAUAAUAAACCUCUGACACAUGGAA
rnacentral:lncRNA from 1 species